rnacentral:rRNA from 1 species
UACGUAGGGGGCGAGCGUUAUCCGGAAUUACUGGGCGUAAAGCGCACGCAGGCGGUUCGCCAAGUUUGGAGUGACAGUUGUCGGCUCAACCGACAAAGGACUUCAAAAACUGGUGAACUUGAGGACGAGAGAGGAACAUGGAACUCCAGGUGUAGUAGUGAAAUGCGCAGAUAUCAGGAGGAACACCGAUGGCGAAGGCAGGUCUCUGGGCCACUACUGACGCUGAGGCGCGACAGCGUGGGGAGCAAACAGG